ACCAAGGCUAAGACGGGUAGCUGGUCUGAGAGGACGACCAGCCACACUGGAACUGAGACACGGUCCAGACACCUACGGGUGGCAGCAGUCGAGAAUUUUUCACAAUGGGGGAAACCCUGAUGGAGCGACGCCGCGUGGGGGAUGAAUGGCUUCGGCCCGUAAACCCCUGUCAUUUGCGAACAAACCUGGUGGUUGAACAAACUGCCAGCUGAUAGUAGCAGAAGAGGAAGGGACGGCUAACUCUGUGCCAGCAGCCGCGGUAAUACAGAGGUCCCAAGCGUUGUUCGGAUUCACUGGGCGUAAAGGGUGCGUAGGCGGUGGGGUAAGUUUGAGGUGAAAUCUCCGGGCUCAACCCGGAAAUUGCCUUGAAGACUAUCCUGCUAGAGGAUCGGAGGGGAGACUGGAAUUCUCGGUGUAGCAGUGAAAUGCGUAGAUAUCGAGAGGAACACCAGUGGCG
rnacentral:rRNA from 1 species